AGCUUUAUGCAGUGGAAGUAUUGUAGCCAAAGAGGUUUAUCCAAGGCACAAUUAUUGCUAAUG
rnacentral:snRNA from 1 species